AAACCAACAGGGAUUGCCUCAGUAACGGCGAGUGAAGCGGCACAGCUCAAAUUUGAAAUCUGGCCCUAGGCCCGAGUUGUAAUUUGCAGAGGAUGCUUUUGGUGCGGUGCCUUCCAAGUUCCCUAGAACGGGACGCCAGAGAGGGUGAGAGCCCCGUACAGUUGGACACCAAGCCUUUGUAAAGCUCCUUCGACGAGUCGAGUAGUUUGGGAAUGCUGCUCAAAAUGGGAGGUAUAUUUCUUCUAAAGCUAAAUACCGGCCAGAGACCGAUAGCGCACAAGUAGAGUGAUCGAAAGAUGAAAAGCACUUUGAAAAGAGGGUUAAACAGCACGUGAAAUUGUUAAAAGGGAAGCGCUUGUGACCAGACUUGCGUCCGGUGAAUCACCCAGCUCUCGCGGCUGGGGCACUUCGCCGGCUCAGGCCAGCAUCAGCUCGCUGUCGGGGACAAAAGCUUCGGGAACGUAGCUCUCUUCGGGGAGUGUUAUAGCCUGUUGCACAAUACCCUUCGGCGGGCUGAGGUACGCGCUCCGCAAGGAUGCUGGCAUAAUGGUCAUCAGCGAC
rnacentral:rRNA from 1 species